UAUAAAAUUAGUUUAUUAUUUAUUAUUAAAGAAAUAGCUUUAGGAAUUUGAUAGGAAUAAUUGAAUUAAGAGUGUAAAAAUUUUUGUGUUUUGUUUUUUUUGUAUCUUAAUUUAUAGAGGGAUUAAAAAGAGUUUUGUUCCUGAAAAUCUUGGUGCGACUGUUUUGAUAUUUUUUGUUUCAAAAAAAUUGCAAAUAAAAUAGUAGAAAUGAAAGGUUUUUCGGAAAGGUUGAUAGCUGGUUUAAAGGGAAAUAUAUUGAAGUAUAGGGAUAGGUUCUAUAUAAUUGCUGCAGGGUUAUAUAGGGUAUAUAAAUUACUGUUUAUAAGUAUUUUUAUAAUGCCUAUUACUUGGACUUAGAGGGAUUAGCUUCUUAGUGAACAAAUUUAGAUUAAAUACAAAGUAAAAUUAGUAUUGUUUAUCUUAUAAAAUUUUAUUAAUAAAAUAGUAUAUAUUGUGAAAGUUUUUAGUACCUUAAUAGUGUGAGUAAAUUUUUUUCGACGAAGUUAGUAUAAAAUUAGUAGGUAUAGUAUAUUAAUUAACUUAUGUUAAAAUUUUGUUAUGACAAGAUUUAGGUUUAUGUGUAAUAUUGUAUAAAAGAACUCGGCAAAAAAUUUUACGCCUGUUUAACAAAAACAUGGCUCUUUGGUGUUAGAAAUAAAGAGUCGGACCUGCCCGGUGAAUGUAAUAAACGGUUGCAACGAGAGUUGUACGAAGGUAGCGUGAUAAGUUGUCUUUUAAUUGGAGAAUGGAAUGAAGGGUUUGACGUGAAAUUUCUUUUUUUAUAAAAGGUACUAAAGUUUCCUUCUAAGUGAAAAGGCUUAGGUUUUUGAAAAAGACGAGAAGACCCUGUCGAACUUGAUUAAGAAUUACUGGUUAUAGAUAUUUAAAAGUUUUAUUGGGGCAAUAUUAACUUAAAAAACAGUUAAUUUAUUCAUAGAUCCUUUUUGAAAGAAAGAGGAAAAAGUUACCGCAGGGAUAACAGCGUUAUUUCUUCUAAGAGAUCUUAUUGAGGAAGAAGUUUGCGACCUCGAUGUUGGAUUAUAGAAACUUUAUGGUGCAGCAGCUAUAAUUGUGAGACUGUUCGUCUUUUAAUUCUAUACAUGAUCUGAGUUAAAACCGGCGUGAGCUAGGUUGGUUUCUAUCUUUUUUUAUUAUUUUCAUUGUACGAAAGGAUCCGAAAGUAAAGUGUUACUUUGUUGAGUUAAUAUAACAAAUUAAC